ACGCUCGACACCUACGGGAGCAGCAGUGGGGAAUAUUGGGCAAUGGGCGAAAGCCUGACCCAGCAACGCCGCGUGAGGGAAGAAGGUUUUCGGAUUGUAAACCUCUGUCCUCAGGGACGAAGGACGUGACGGUACCUGAGGAGGAAGCCCCGGCUAACUACGUGCCACAGCCGCGGUAAUCUGAGCGGGCUGGCAAGGC
rnacentral:rRNA from 1 species